GAGCACGUAGGUGGGUUUGUAAGUCAGAUGUGAAAGCCUUCUGUUCAACGGAAGAAUUGCAUCUGAAACUACAAACCUUGAGUAUAGGAGGGGAGAAUGGAACUUCUGGUGGAGCGGUGAAAUGCGUAGAUAUCAGAAGGAACGCCGGCGGCGAAGGCGAUUCUCUGGCCUAUUACUGACACUCAGUGUGCGAAAGCUAGGGGAGCAAACGGGAUUAGAUACCCCGGUAGUCCUAGCCGUAAACGAUGGGCACUAAGUAGAGGGGUUUU
rnacentral:rRNA from 1 species